CCGAGGCGAAGAUCUGUAGCCGGGUCUGAGAGGAUGAUCCGCCACACUGGGACUGAGACACGGCCCAGACCCCUACGGGAGGCAGCAGUGGGGAAUUUUGGACAAUGGGGCAACCCUGAUCCAGCCAUGCCGCGUGUAUGAAGAAGGCCUUAGGGUUGUAAAGUACUUUUGUUAGGGAAGAAAAGUCAGCUGUGAAUAAUGGCUGAUACUGACGGUACCUAAAGAAUAAGCACCGGCUAACUACGUGCCAGCAGCCGCGGUAAUACGUAGGGUGCGAGCGUUAAUCGGAAUUAUUGGGCGUAAAGCGAGUGUAGACGGUUAUUUAAGCCAGAUGUGAAAUACCCGAGCCUAACUUGGGAGGUGCAUAUGGAACUGGGUAGCUAGAGUGUGUCAGAGGGAGGUAGAACUCCACGUGUAGCAGUGAAAUGCGUAGAGAUGUGGAAGAAUACCGAUGGCGAAGGCAGCCUCCUGGGAUAACACUGACGUUGAGGCUCGAAAGCGUGGGGAGCAAACAGGAUUAGAUAC
rnacentral:rRNA from 1 species